rnacentral:sRNA from 1 species
CUUCGCUGUUCUUCCUCAUUAUUAACUUCAUCUUCGUCGUCAUCUUCUUCCUCAGAAGAUUGUUCUUCAACAAUUGGUUUUCCCGGUCGGUAGCGUUGUGGCCUUUGCGGGUUCGCAGUCAUACGACCCCGAGAGGAUGGGAAUGGAGGCGGCAUGGCUACUCUGGACGGAUGACUUAUGGAUAGUAACGUUAGGUGGCAAUCAUUACCAGGACGGCACGGUGCAGUGAGGAGAACCUCCGCGCAGAGGGCGGGUUGCAAGGAGAAGGUCUCAAAGUUUUUAUUGCCGAUGAUGUUUGGUUGCGAUUUCGGAUAAUACAUUUUCCGAAACUCAAUCUAAUUUCAACAUCAUGGCACAGGUUUUGGAAAUUUGUACGGAGUAUAGAGUAUGUUAUCUGCUAAUAGGAAGCGUUGCCGGUUUUACAAACCGAGCCCGAAAAUGGGUUGCCUGCUUCAAUUACCACACUCGGUGUGCUUUUCUCCAACCCACAAUAGUGCGCAGCUCCAGGUGAUUAGCUCUUCCCGAUAACUGUCACAGUCUGCACCAGUCGCCAGCGACGCCUCAGAGGUCCAACUCCUCUUAGCUUUGACCAGCAUGUCGCCUUCCACGCAUCAGGAUUCUCUGCCUCCGAAGUCCUUAUGAUCUUGUGCAAAAGAUGGCAACCAAGAUACCCAAAAAUUUGAAAAUUGUGUAUUAGCAGAUUGCAAACAGAGUUAGCUGCCGUUGUUAUUGAGUACUGAUACUGACCAUCGAGUCUCCCUUCGAUGUAGAUUCGAGUAUAGCCGAGAGAGACUGCGAGUAUCCUUGAAAUCAUGGCUGACGGAGGCAGCUCAGUAGCUUGCCGAACCCAACUAAAGUGGUGAGGGCGGACUCGAGGAAAUAUAUUAUGUCUUUCCGUUUUUCGACAGCUGCAUACUUAUAUAUGUAGAGCACUAAGAAAGAACAACCUCAAUGAAACCCCACGAACUCAUAUAUGAGGUAGCUCAACAAGUAGACUCUUACUCCUGUGGUAGUAGCCAUGUCUAAGAGCGGGACCCAAAACUAAGAAAGAAUCGCAGGGACUGCAGCAAGGAUCGAGAGAGAAACAAGA